ACAAUGAUAUAUGCCCAGAUCUACCAAGAAGUUUAAUAAAUAAUAAAAAUAUAGCAGAAAAAGAAAUAAUAUUAGGAGUGAGAAAAAUAAAAAUAGAUUUCGAAGUAAAGGAAGAAAUGCAAAAAGCAGAUAUAAUAUUAGGAAUAAAAUGGUUAGAACAAGUAAAACCAUAUAAUAUAGAACAUACACAAUUAACCUUAACAUAUAACAAAGAAACGUUAUUCUUAAAAAGAGCCUUAACAUGAAAUGAAGAUAUAUGUAUUAAUGAAGAUAGUAGUAGAAGGAUAUUACAGUAGAUAUUAUACGCCAAUGAUAGAUACAGGAGCAGAAGCUAAUUUAUGUAGAUAUAAUUGCUUACCAGAAAGCAAAUGGGAUAAACUAAAAACACCAAUAAUAGUUAAAGGAUUUAAUAAUGAAGGAAGCUUAAUUACUUAUAAAGCUAGGAAUGUAAAAAUACAAGUAUGGGAUAAGAUAUUAACAAUAGAAGAAAUUUAUAACUAUGAAUUAACAUCAAAAGAUAUACUUUUAGGAAUGCCAUUUUUAGAUAAAUUAUACCCACAUAUAAUAACCAAAACAGACUGGUGGUUUACAACACCAUGCAAACAAAAAGUAAGAGCAAAAAGAGUUAAUAAUAAAAUAAGAAAGAAAACUGAUUGGAUAAAAGGAAGUGAAAAAAUUACACAAAAGUUAGAAAAUAUAAAAAAUACUGAAGAUACAGUAGAACUAGUAGUAUUUUCGAUAAAUAAAACAGAAAUAACUAUAUUUUCAAUAAAUAAAAUAGAAAUAAUUCAGAAAAAAUUAGAACAAUUAUAUAGUGAAGAUCCAUUAAAAGGAUGGGAAAAACACAAAACUACUAUAAAAAUUGAAUUAAUAGAUAAGAAUAGCAUAAUAACACAAAAACCAUUAACAUAUAAUUUUGAUGAUUUAAAAGAAUUUAAAAUGCACAUAGAUGAAUUAUUAGAAAAACAAUAUAUACAAAAAAGUAAUAGUAAACAUAAUAGUCCAGCAUUUAUAGUAAAUAAACAUAGUGAACAAAAAAGAGGAAAAAGUAGGAUGGUUAUUGACUAUAGAAAUUUAAAUGCAAAAACUAUAACAUAUAAUUAUCCGAUACCAAAUAAGAUAUUAAAAAUAAGACAAAUCCAAGGAUAUAAUUAUUUUAGCAAAUUUGAUUGUAAAUCAGGAUUUUACCACCUAAAGCUAGAAGAAGAAUCUAAAGAAUUAACCGCAUUUACGGUACCACAAGGAUUUUAUGAAUGGAACGUGUUACCAUUUGGAUAUAAAAAUGCACCAGGUAGAUAUCAACAUUUUAUGGAUAAUUAUUUUAAACAAUUAUCUAAUUGUAUAGUAUACAUAGAUGAUAUAUUAUUAUACACCAAAACCAAAGAAGAACAUUUAAAAUUAUUAGAACAAUUCACAGAUAUAAUAGAAAAAUCAGGAAUAAGUCUAAGCAAAAAGAAAGCUGAAAUUAUGAAAAACCAGAUAGAAUUUUUAGGAAUACAAAUAGAUAAAAGUGGAGUAAAAAUGCAACAACAUAUAGUACAAAAAAUAAUAAAUUCGAAAGAAGAAUUAGAUACAAAAAAGAAAUUACAAUCAUUUUUAGGAUUAGUAAACCAAGUAAGAGAAUAUAUUCCAAAAUUAGCAGAAACCUUAAAACCACUGCAGAAAAAAUUAAAAAAGGAUAUAGAAUAUAAUUAUGAUGAAAAAGAUAAAAAACAAGUUCAAAAAAUAAAAUUACUUUGUAGAGAAUUACCAAAAUUGCAAUUUCCAGAUGAAAAUAGAAAAUUUAUAUAUAUAGUAGAAGCAGAUGCAAGUGAAUAUAGUUACGGAGGAGUACUUAAAUAUCGAUAUGAAGCAGAAAAAAUAGAACACCAUUGUAGAUACUACUCAGGUACGUUCAACGAGACAGAAAUAAAAUGGGAAAUAAAUAGGAAAGAAUUAUGUUCAUUAUAUAAAUGUUUAUUAGCAUUUGAGCCAUAUAUUGUAUAUAACAAAUUUAUUGUACGAACAGAUAAUACACAGGUACGCUGGUGGUUAACAAAGAAAAUACAAAAUUCAGUUACAACAAAAGAGAUUCGAAGACUAGUUUUAAAUAUAUUAAAUUUCACAUUUACAAUUGAAGUGAUCAGUACUAACAAAAAUGUUAUUGCAGAUUACAUAUCAAGACAAAGCUACACAGACUGAAAUAGUAGAGGAAGAUACUCUAGAAAAAAUACUUAACACCCUAACUACGCUUUCAAUGAAAGUGGACAGUAUGGGUAAUGAGAUAGAAAAGCUAAAGACUAAUGAAGAUAAACUGAAGUCUAUAGCUACAAAUCAGCUAACUCAGCAGUGUGCAGAGCUAUGUCGACCGGAAGACAUUAAAAAUCCAGAGCUAGAAGGAGACGUUGGGACACUCCAUAAAACCCAUAACAUUUAUCAAUCUACUUCUGCAGGUACAAGCAAAGGAGUUAAUAGACCAAGAUACCAGAAUGUAAAUAUGAACAAAAUAUUUGAAAAACCAUUUACCCCAAAAGCACAAAAAGACCAUUUAUUCAUACCCCCACAAGUUAACACAUACCGAGACAGCCUAAACCAAGACAAGAAAAUAUACAACUACACAGCCCAAAAAUACAUAGAAAAUAUAUAUAGAGUCCAAACCUUUCUAAACCAUAACCCCAGAGCUACAAAUAUCCAAGAACCAAAUACCAAUUAUAUAACCCAAAAACUACAAGGAUACAAUAAACUGAUAGCACUACCCAAAACUAACCCAAGCCUAGUUAAAACCUGUUUUGACUAUGGACUACUAAAUACCAUAUACACCCAAGACGGAGAAGAGCUAACAGCUAUGGAGGAAUUAUACAAGAUAUUCACUACCUACAAAAGAAUAAAAAAAGGAAAUUUAUUUUAUAUAAAGUGUUAUACUGCACCAGCAGAGAUAUUAUAUGAUGAAAUAAAACCAGUGAUACAGGUUGUAAAGAUAGGACUGACAAGAGAUAUGAUUAUACCAGAAGAUAUUUCGCAACAACCAGAGAUACCUAGAAUCGAGAUACCAGAUUUUUAUGCAAAUAAAAGACUUAUUGGACUAGCUACGAUCAUACAAGAACUAGCAAAUAACUACGCUAACGGAAAUCCAAUAUGGAGCUACUAUUCAAGAGAUCACCAAAUGAUAUAUUCAAAUUCGAAAGAACUAAGACAAGCAGAUAUGGAAGACGUAAGACAAUGGAUACUGACGCUACUUAACCCAGAAAAACAAUCUACCGCGCGAGCAAUAAGAAAAGGAUUUAUUUCAGACGGACUGCUAACCAGAUACUGUAAGAUAAUCGGACAUAAAUAUCCAGACCACCAAUGUUCGAGGUGCAAUGGAGAAGAUAAUAUUAUUCCAGAGGUACACCUAGAAUAAAGAAGAUAAAAUACCAGCUGGAAGGAUAAGAUAAAGAGCAAUAAUGGAGCAGAUACAGAAGCAAUAAUGGAGCAGAUACAGAACAAUAAUGGAGCAAAUACGACAAAAACCAACGGAGACAAGAUACUGUACAGAAGCAGAAUUAUUAUACUCAAGCUCAUCAAAAAGAACAAGUUAUGAAACAAAUUCAAUAAGUAAUUUAAACCAAUAUUACAUAACGGGAAAAAUAAAUGAAAAAGAAUAUUUAAUACUUUUGAAUACAGGACAAGAAGAAAAUCAUAUAGCAAAAUAUCUAGUAAAAAAUGAAGAAAUAAAAACCGACAAUAAUAUAUGCCCAGACUUACCAAGAAGUUUAAUAAAUAAUAAAAAUAUAGCAGAAAAAGAAAUAAUAAUAGGAGUUAGAAAAAUAAAAAUAGAAUUCGAAGUAAAGGAAGAAAUGCAAAAAGCAGAUAUAAUAUUAGGAAUAAAAUGGUUAGAACAAGUAAAACCAUAUAAUAUAGAACAUACACAAUUAACCUUAACAUAUAACCAAGAAAAGUUAUUCUUAAAAAGAGCCUUAACAUGAAAUGAAGAUAUAUGUAUUAAUGAAGAUAGUAGUAGAAGGAUAUUACAGUAGAUAUUAUACGCCUAUGAUAGAUACAGGAGCAGAAGCUAAUUUAUGUAGAUAUAAUUGCUUAUCAGAAAGCAAAUGGGAUAAAUUAAAAACACCAAUAAUAGUUAAAGGAUUUAAUAAUGAAGGAAGCCUAAUUACUUAUAAAGCUAGGAAUGUAAAAAUACAAGUAUGGGAUAAGAUAUUAACAAUAGAAGAAAUUUAUAAUUAUGAAUUAACAUCAAAAGAUAUACUUUUAGGAAUGCCAUUCUUAGAUAAAUUAUACCCACAUAUAAUAACCAAAACAGACUGCUGGUUUACAACACCAUGUAAACAGAAGGUAAG
rnacentral:lncRNA from 1 species